UAGCUCAGUGGUUAGAGCGAUGGUCUUAUGAGCCAUAGGCCGUGGGUUCGACCCCCGC
rnacentral:tRNA from 1 species